GGAAACGUGUCGGCCAAGCAGAAACCUCCGAGGACUUGGUACGUAUCCUUGACGAUCGAGACGAAACACUCUCGAUGCUCACGGUGUUUACCGAACGCCGCACGGCAGAUGAUGGCGUUGGCAAGACGGAACAGCUUGUCGCUCAGGUUGACGGGAGCUGUUUCCGACUUGGAGAUGUCUCUCAUCAGUUCAUGGGUCAGUUCCAUCCUGAUGGAGGAGAAGAAUCGGGUGCGCUUGCCGCCGAGCUGCUCCGUGAAGCAGAUCCGGCGCAUCUGUUUCCAGUAAGGGCCGAAGGGGGACCAGGCGAUGUCGGAGGCGCCAUAGAGAACGAUCUGCGAUGCGGCGAGCGCGGGACGGGAAGCGAAGUUGUCACCAUGUUUCUGUAAGAUCUCCUCGGCGGCUUCGCGUGAGGAGGCGACCGCAACGUCCACCUGGCCGAUCCUAACGAGCAUGAGGGGGCCGUGCUUGCGAGCGAGGUGGCGAAGUGCGCGGAAGGGCAGUUGCCCGACCAGGUGGUGCAUGCCUCCGAUGAGAGGCAGAUUCCACGGGCCGGGGGGAAGUCUGGUGUUUGGGCCUUUGUACUUGGCGAGACAUUUCUUCGUCAAGACGAGGAAGAAGAGGAGGGAGCAGAGGAAGAUGGGUACGGAAGGGAGUUGAAGCAGAUCCAUGAAGUGGAUGCGAAGGUGAAGACACCUGCGUCAAAAGCCAUUUUUGGGCAUCUUAUAAUGGUUGGGGCAAUCGCAUGGUGCUGUGUGCGGAAGAUUUUAAGAUGCUCUGUAAACCUCUCAUGGUGACACAUGGAAACUGGUUGGUGUGUCCAACUCACAAAUCUUUUGGCGACGGCAUUAAUCAGAUCCAAUCGGGGUGGGUUGCAUCCAUCCGUAUCAACUGUAAGUCAAUCAAAGACGGAUAAGGCAGAUAGGGUUGGAUCUCCAAUAUCGACGACUAUCUAUGCGCCAGCACCCAUAUCGGCAUCUCCAUUUCAACGUCGCUAUGUUUGUCAUAUUUGUGUGGGUCUCUUAAGGAGACACAGAGAGGGAUGCAACAUAGAAGCAGGGUAAAAAGAGGGCGCCCAUACCUCCACGAUUCAUAUGCUUCCACCUCAAAUGCAAUGGCGAAACCCUCUGGACUUGUAUAUCACAUCUCGAAGCUACAAUUCAAAAUAUAUAAAAAGGUUAAUCUGGAGAGAACAGAACAGCUAUCACCAGUGCGUCGCAUGUGGACUUUGGCGUGGCCGUGCAACAAUGCAUGAUAAAAGGGUUUGGUUGGUUUCUGAUGUGUGACCAAACCAGCGGAUAGGCUAAAAAUAUGAGGGCCGACAAGUCGGGACUCGAUCGACGGAUCCACAAACAACAGCUGCAAUGAUAGCAAACUUGAUUGGAUGACCCAAAGACGGACGGAUGGCUUUGCCCUCCAUCCUCCUCUUGCUCGAUAGAGGAUCAAAUUGGCUGAAGAGUCUCAGUAGAAGAAGGAAUAUAUCUAUCUCUUUAUCAGAGUUAAACGUUAAACUCUUAGUUUAGGCCCUCCAAGAACGGAGGUUCUGUCAUCGGAGAAUAUGAGAGAGAGAGAGAGAGAGAGCUAUGCCAAUAGAUUUAAAAGACUAAUCACAUUCAAAAGAAGAUAAGUUUAUUAAUGUUCUUAUAUUAAAAAAAAAAUAUUGGAGAUGUAAAAUUAUGAUGGAUUUCUUUCUCAAAUCAAAAGGGCUCGAAAGUAAUGAAACGUAGUGUUCCAUAAAAUUAUUAUCAUGCUUUCUAAAAUAUUAUCAUGCUUCAUAAAAAUUAUUAUUUAUUAAUCAUAAAAUUUUGAAAUUAAAAUAUUAUCAUGCAUCAUAAAAAUUAUACUAAUUAUAAUAUUAAAGAUUUUAAAAACAUGAAUCAAAACUAUUGUUUAAAAAAGGAAUAAAAGAUUACACCCCUUAUCGGGAUCCUCUGGAUGGGAUUGGGAUUAAGAAUUUAUAAUUUAUAAUUAUAAUAUUAAACAUUUUUUAAAAUAUAAAUCAAAAUUAUUAAGAAAAAAAUAAAGAAUUAUACCUCUCAUUGGGAUCCCCUCCUCGAGUAUCUCGCCUUGGACCUCUGUCCAUCCGACGGUGAAGCCGCCGCUCGGCACACGAUGGCGUUGGAGAGACGGAACAGCUUGUCGCUCAGGUUGACGGGUGCUGUUUCUGACCUGGAGAUGUCUCUCAUCAGCUCAUGGGUCAGUUCCAUGAUGACGGAGGAGAGGAACGGGUGCGCUUGGCGCUGAGUAUCUCCGUGAAGAAUAGCCGGCGCAGCUGCUUACAGUAAGGGCCGAAGGGGGACCAGCCGAUGUCGGAGGCGCCAUAGAGAAUCACCUGUGUUGCGGCGAGCUCGGGACGGGAAGCGAAGGUGGCACCUUGUUUCUGUAAGAUCUAGGCGGCUUCACGUGAGGAGGCGACCGCAAGGUCCACCUGGCCGAUCCUGACGAGCAUGAGGGGGCCGUGCUUGCGAGCGAGGUGGCGGAGUGCGCGGAAGUGCAGCUGCGGGACUAGGUGGUGCAUGCUUCCGAUGAGAGGCAGAUUCCCUGGGCCGGGGGGGGGUGGUCUUGCCUUGGGGCUUUUGAACUUGGCGAACACACUCUCUUGGUGAAGAUGAGGAAGAAGAGCAAGAUGGGCACGGAAGGGAGCUGAAGCUGCCUCGUGGCCACGGGUCCGUUCGAAGCUGGCUGGACGUAGACGAACGGUAACUCACGUCUGUGGUUCCUUUGUCCAGCUCACAACAUCUAAUGGUCGUGCUGCGGUCCAAAUAUUUGGGGAACCAAUUGUUGAAUUAAAGAUAGAAAGACAAAAUAAAUGCAUCUCACUCGAAACUAUUCCUGCCGUUGUAGCUCUCGUUUCCAACACUCUUUCUCCCUACGUUUC
rnacentral:lncRNA from 1 species